CGCAGCUGUCACGCUCCAUACCUCCUCCAGAGCUCUGCUAGGGUUUGAUCCUACGCCCCUUUCAAGCUAGCCAAAUCUCGUUCUCCUGUCAUCUCUUGAGUCCAUUUUCGAAGCUUUUAGGUUCGUUGAGUCAGGUGUCGAAGUCGUUCGCUAAACCCUUUCCAGAUGGGAGAACCCCUGGCAGUGGUAAUGAUGGUGGGAAUGCUACAACUUGAUGGACUGGACAGUUAUUGGGCCCACUAUGGAGCUCAUCGCUGAAGAAUUUAUUAGCUAUGCUUUUCUUGUCUGUACAAGAUCUAGUACCAUUAGUUCUCUAGUAUUUUCUAUUUUAGGCCGUAUGAGGCCUCUUUUAUGUUUUAUGGAUAUGUUGGGGUACGGAGUACUUCAUAUACCAAAUCUUCGUACUCUAUAGAUAUUAUGUAUGUGACGUGUUUAUCUAUUUAUU